rnacentral:rRNA from 1 species
UGGGGAAUUUUGGACAAUGGGCGAAAGCCUGAUCCAGCAAUGCCGCGUGUGUGAAGAAGGCCUUCGGGUUGUAAAGCACUUUUGUCCGGAAAGAAAUCCUUGGCUCUAAUACAGUCGGGGGAUGACGGUACCGGAAGAAUAAGCACCGGCUAACUACGUGCCAGCAGCCGCGGUAAUACGUAGGGUGCAAGCGUUAAUCGGAAUUACUGGGCGUAAAGCGUGCGCAGGCGGUUUGCUAAGACCGAUGUGAAAUCCCCGGGCUCAACCUGGGAACUGCAUUGGUGACUGGCAGGCUAGAGUAUGGCAGAGGGGGGUAGAAUUCCACGUGUAGCAGUGAAAUGCGUAGAGAUGUGGAGGAAUACCGAUGGCGAAGGCAGCCCCCUGGGCCAAUACUGACGCUCAUGCACGAAAGCGUGGGGAGCAAACAGGAUUAGAUACCCUGGUAGUCCACGCCCUAAACGAUGUCAACUAGUUGUUGGGGAUUCAUUUCCUUAGUAACGUAGCUAACGCGUGAAGUUGACCGCCUGGGGAGUACGGUCGCAAGAUUAAAACUCAAAUGAAUUGACGGGGUCAUACUGUUUCCU